rnacentral:rRNA from 1 species
GAUGAACGCUGGCGGCGUGCCUAAUACAUGCAAGUCGAGCGAACGGACGAGAAGCUUGCUUCUCUGAUGUUAGCGGCGGAUGGGUGAGUAACACGUGGGUAACCUACCUAUAAGACUGGGAUAACUUCGGGAAACCGGAGCUAAUACCGGAUAAUAUUUUGAACCGCAUGGUUCAAAAGUAAAAGACGGUCUUGCUGUCACUUAUAGAUGGAUCCGCGCUGCAUUAGCUAGUUGGUAAGGUAACGGCUUACCAAGGCAACGAUGCAUAGCCGACCUGAGGGGGUGAUCGGCCACACUGGAACUGAGACACGGUCCAGACUCCUACGGGAGGCAGCAGUAGGGAAUCUUCCGCAAUGGGCGAAAGCCUGACGGAGCAACGCCGCGUGAGUGAUGAAGGUCUUCGGAUCGUAAAACUCUGUUAUUAGGGAAGAACAUAUGUGUAAGUAACUGUGCACAUCUUGACGGUACCUAAUCAGAAAGCCACGGCUAACUACGUGCCAGCAGCCGCGGUAAUACGUAGGUGGCAAGCGUUAUCCGGAAUUAUUGGGCGUAAAGCGCGCGUAGGCGGUUUUUUAAGUCUGAUGUGAAAGCCCACGGCUCAACCGUGGAGGGUCAUUGGAAACUGGAAAACUUGAGUGCAGAAGAGGAAAGUGGAAUUCCAUGUGUAGCGGUGAAAUGCGCAGAGAUAUGGAGGAACACCAGUGGCGAAGGCGACUUUCUGGUCUGUAACUGACGCUGAUGUGCGAAAGCGUGGGGAUCAAACAGGAUUAGAUACCCUGGUAGUCCACGCCGUAAACGAUGAGUGCUAAGUGUUAGGGGGUUUCCGCCCCUUAGUGCUGCAGCUAACGCAUUAAGCACUCCGCCUGGGGAGUACGACCGCAAGGUUGAAACUCAAAGGAAUUGACGGGGACCCGCACAAGCGGUGGAGCAUGUGGUUUAAUUCGAAGCAACGCGAAGAACCUUACCAAAUCUUGACAUCCUUUGACAACUCUAGAGAUAGAGCCUUCCCCUUCGGGGGACAAAGUGACAGGUGGUGCAUGGUUGUCGUCAGCUCGUGUCGUGAGAUGUUGGGUUAAGUCCCGCAACGAGCGCAACCCUUAAGCUUAGUUGCCAUCAUUAAGUUGGGCACUCUAAGUUGACUGCCGGUGACAAACCGGAGGAAGGUGGGGAUGACGUCAAAUCAUCAUGCCCCUUAUGAUUUGGGCUACACACGUGCUACAAUGGACAAUACAAAGGGCAGCGAAACCGCGAGGUCAAGCAAAUCCCAUAAAGUUGUUCUCAGUUCGGAUUGUAGUCUGCAACUCGACUACAUGAAGCUGGAAUCGCUAGUAAUCGUAGAUCAGCAUGCUACGGUGAAUACGUUCCCGGGUCU